UACAAUGGUGGGCUGUAUGGGGCUACCUUCGGGUAGGCUGGUUACCUUGGACGCCAGUAAGGCCAACUCCGUACAGUCCACCGCCAGC
rnacentral:antisense_RNA from 1 species